UCUCUCUCUCUCUCUCUCUCUCUCGAUUUCUUCCGUUGGUGGAUUUAGAUGUAAAUAUGUUGAAUCUUUGGGCGUGGUGAGAAACUUCAUUGGUUUCCCGGCCGACAACGAAAGAGAAGGCUGACCGGCUUCUAGGGUUUCUUGGUUAUUUUCUUGGAUUAUCUUGGGUGAAAAGCAUGAGGACGAGGCCUCGAGAUGACGACAAUGCAUCCAGUUCGAUGUGGCCUAAGCAAUCUAAAGGCCCAUCGUGAGCUCCCUGAUCAUGUUUCACUAUCCCUUACCGUUUUCUUGAAGUUCACCCUUUUCUGUUUAUCUCCACACGUUCUCUUCUUCUAUGCUUCUCAAUGGAAUCUUUCGUUGUUUUGUGUACUGCAGAUGAUCGCUCGCUAUGACAUGCUAUAGAUCGUGUUCUUGCUGUUCUAUAAUUCCAUGUAUUAGUACUUCGAUUUGGGGGCAUAAUUUCAUCUUUAUUGUUUUCUUUAUUGAGUUGAAGGUCCAGUCAUAGUGAUUCUAAGCCAGGAAGGGGUGAUGCCAGAGAGUUCCUGGCUGUAGUCAAAAGGACACUUCACAAUGAAGCACAUACACAUGAUCAAUUCGUUGAUAUCAUGAAGAGUUUAGAGAAUUCAAGAAUCGUUUUUCAGAUGAACCUGACAAGUACUGUUCGAUUUGGACAUCCUGAUAAUCCAUAGGACUAAUUGCAUGUUCAUUGAUGACGUUUAGCAAGAGGUUUUAGGUGUUCUUUUUUUUUUUUUGUAUAAGCUUGAUUGUGCGAGUAUUUAUUUUUGGAUAGAUCUUGACUUGAAGUUUCCAGCUGUCCAUAUUACUUGCCACCAUGAUGAUUUGCUUGAAGUGUUAAAGUCUCUCUUACCUGCUGGACAUGGAGCAGAGUCUAUUCAUCAGACAUCGUCUUGUAGAUCUUUAGGGUACCAGAACGAAGACAAUGAAGAAUGAAAUCCUAGCAAAGCAGAUUUAGAGCUUGAUCUUUCUAAUUGUCAGCAGUGUACCCUUGUUCCUGCUUCCUGCCUGAGAAUUAUCAAAUGCCUCCUGCAAGCAACAGACUUGAGCUGGAUGCAUCGGUACUGAAUAAUGUUGUGGUAUCCAAAACUUCUGGAUGUAAGGAUUCUUCUAAGGACAGGAAAAGAAACAAGUAUGAAAAAAUGGUACUAAAAUGAGAAGAUGAUAAGUAUUGAUUCCAUAUCAAUUAUUUACCAUCUCCAGCUUGCAGUUUGUUCAAGGGUUAAAAACAGUUAUCUUGAUUGCAACCCUUUUUUAGAUUUAAAAGGUAGCUUCAGGCUGGCAGGCAGGCUUAUCUUGAUUAAACUUUAGUUGUUAU